rnacentral:rRNA from 1 species
UACAGAGGUCCCAAGCGUUGUUCGGAUUCACUGGGCGUAAAGGGCGCGUAGGCGGCGCGGGGAGUCAACGGUGAAAGCUCGGCGCUCAACGCCGAGUCGGCCGUCGAUACUCCCGUGCUCGAGCACUGUAGAGGCAGGUGGAAUUCCGGGUGUAGCGGUGGAAUGCGUAGAGAUCCGGAAGAACACCGGUGGCGAAGGCGGCCUGCUGGGCAGUAGCUGACGCUGAGGCGCGACAGCGUGGGGGGCAAACAGG